AAUCGCAGAGACAUCUAUCAAAUACCAUAGGUCCAAGGGCACAAGGUAAUGUGAAGCAUCCUGGAUCUUCUAGCUUCUUUGGAAUGACCAGUCUCUGAAUGAUAGCACUGCACUCAUGAGUGAGAAUCACCAUGCCCUCCAUCUCUUUCUUCUUUGCAGCUACAGCAUCUUUGAGGAACUUGCUGUACUGAGGGAUCAGCAUGAAAGCGUCAAUAAUGGGCAUUGUGACCUGGACUUCACUCAUUUGCUUGUCAAACAAAGCUUUGUACUUCUCUAGCAGCUGCCUCUUGAAUCGACCUGGGAAUGGAAGCUUGGGUUCAUAAGCAGGAGGAACAAAAGAGUUUUCACUUGCAGGAGUGACGACUUCACCAUCUUUAACUGUUUUCUUCUCUUCUCCAACCUUUCC
rnacentral:lncRNA from 1 species